rnacentral:rRNA from 1 species
AUUGAACGCUGGCGGCAGGCCUAACACAUGCAAGUCGAGCGAGCGGCGGACGGGUGAGUAAUGUCUGGGAAACUGCCUGAUGGAGGGGGAUACCUACUGGAACCGGUAGCUAAUACCGCAUCCCAUCAGAUGUGCCCAGAUGGGACUAGCUAGUAGGUGGGGUAACGGCCCACCUAGGGGUCGAUCCCUAGCUGGUCUGAGAGGAUGACCAGCCACACUGGAACUGAGACACGGUCCAGACUCCUACGGGAGGCAGCAGUGGGGAAUAUUGCACAAUGGGCGCAAGCCUGAUGCAGCCAUGCCGCGUGUGUGAAGAAGGCCUUCGGGUUGUAAAGCACUUUCAGCGGGGAGGCGUUACCCGCAGAAGAAGCACCGGCUAACUCCGUGCCAGCAGCCGCGGUAAUUC